CAAUAGUCUGCCGAGAUGGCAACAGCGCCAGUCCCGGCUGAUGGUGCUAAGUGUCACAGUACUCAGUGUUGGGGGUUGCUGAGUCUCACUCCCAGAGUGCGGGACACAAAGCAAGAAACCAGUCCUCAAUGGGGGCAGAGCUUGGUCCAGACUUCCUGAUGCUCAUGAGCCCCCAGGCCAUGCGUUCUGUCUCAGCAGCAGAGUUGGGACCCAGGUUUGUUGGAGGUCCUAAAGCCUCCUGUCAUAAGGAGGCUCACACCUACCCACCCACGAGGGAGGUCACAGCACAGCUGGUUCUGUGGCUUCUACAAGUGUGUGGUGGCUCCAAGGGCCCCAUAAAGAUUUUUGUCUGGGUCCCCUGACCAAAGGUGUGUUGGAGCCAGCCAAGCAGGCUUCAUGGGGGAUUCCUGAAUUUUCAGGAAUUUUGGGUAUUGGUUGCUAAAUAAAGCCACAGAAAGCUUAAGCAUUAUCUUGAGUCCCCAAACUCCCCCUUGCUGGUUUUGUGGCCGUGUCGCUGUCCUCUGUGCUGCUAAGACCAUUACCGUACGCUACAUCUGUGUGGCUGCCAAACUAUGUACCAGUGAGUGACUUUGUGGGAGCCACAAGCAUCCACAGUGUUCAUGAAAACCUGAAUUCAGCCAAACUCCUGGUUGUGCCUUGCUUGCGUUAGUCUGCCUGUGAGCACCGCCAGCUUCUGCCAGAUGUAGGCUCCCUGUCUAGUAGGGGCCAUUGCUUCCUCUUGUUACCCAAAGGUCAGAUGUGCCCACUGUCCUGAUCUGGGAUGAAAUUCAGAGACGGCCAUAAAUUGGUUAAGGCAGCACAGCUGUUAGUAGCAGAAGCAGGACACAAACUCAGGACACUAAACAAGUCCAAUGUGGGGAUGAAGAACCGUAGCCAUCCGGAACCCGUUUUCCUGGGUCCUGCCUCAGUGUCUCACCUGCUGGGCUGCCCAGCUCCCUCAUAUGGCCAGUAGGUGGUGCUGUGGUCACAGACAGGCCUGUGGUCAGAGGGCUGUGGUGGGGGAAGUUUGAGGAGGGGAUGCAAAGGCUGGGACUCCACGGAGUCCGCCUGGAGCCCUGGAGCCCCUGUAGUGAGCUGCUCCCCUAUAUUACCCUCCUCCAACCGAAAGCCAGCAGUCGGGGACUUACGGGCUGGGAGGCCAGUGUCUUACCGCCUUGGGGGGGGGGAGACUUUGGUUUUGUCUUGGACCCCAGUACCAAACCCUUGCAUACUGGCUCCCCUAGCAGAGAGACCUGAUCCACACAGGGUAGUCCUGGUUGCUUCCAGGCCCAUCCUCUACCUUUCCCCAGCCUUCAGUGUUCCAGCAAUGCUGGUUUUUGUUUUUGUUUCUUUGUUUCCCCCUGAAACAUGGGGUCCCUGGAAUUUGCCCUCUUCCUAAGGAAACACAGUACACCUUCCUAUCUCUUCCUGGAUGCCCCAGUCCUGGUCUCUGGGAAGCCAGUCCUGGUUUGUUUGAGUUCUAGGGCUGCAGACCCUUGAAGAGUGUUGGGCAUAGUGGGAGAGAGUGUGUUGCUGAUGUUGAUGGAGGGGCCAGGUACACACCUGUACCCCUCUUUUCAGCAAUACAGUGCAGCCCUAUGACCAACCCACACCCUCUGGAGACAUCAGCUUCAGGCUCGGAAAACCUUUAGAAGAAAACUCAGGGCGGGGGUGUGCAGCUGGUGGACAUUGGUCUUCCUGAAGGGAAAACCAAAAGCGCAGUUAAAAGGGUGGAGAUGGAUGUGGGAGAGACAGUAUCUGAGCAAAAAACCUAGCAAAGCACAGGAAAUGGCAAAAUGCAGAAGCAGCUCCCCACAGCCAGGGAAAGGUACUGGCAGCUGUCUCUCUGGUAAGGGGUUACAGCCAAACUGUGAAAGAAAACACUCAACUCAUCAACAGACAGAUAACCCCCGACAAAAGGGCAGGGCAGGACAGGCUGACAUCCUCCAGAGUGGACAGACACCUGGCUAGCAGGUGCACAAACAGGUGUCUCCAUCACCGGAAACCCAGGCUGGGCCAUCAGAGCCUCCGUGAGCUGUCAGUUUUCACCUGUCAGGGCGGACUGUCAGAAAGCAAGACUGAGGGUGUGGAGGAGGGAAUGCUCCUGCCCUGUGGGUGAAGUGUGACACGGUGCAGCCAGUCAAGAAAACAGUAUGGAGGUUCCUCAGAAAAUUAAAAAUAGCACUGCCAUAUGAUUUAGUAAUCGCCCUUCUGGGCACACAUCCAAAAGCAUCAAGAUUAGGAUCUCGGGAGGUGUCACUCCUUGUUUGCUGAGGCAGCCACAAGGACAGGGUGCGGGGGCGACGUGCGUCCAUCUACGGCUGGGUGGAUGGGGGCGCAUGACAAGGCACCCAGGGGAAUACCAUCUCGCUCUUAAUGAGGAGGAAAGCUGACGCCUCAGGUGUGGGGCUGCUCCUGAAGAUCCUGUGCUAAGGGAAAAGAGCUGCUGCAGCGGACAGCAUGGCUACAACAUAUGAAGCUCGUAGACUCCCGGACAACAUGGCUACAACAUACGAAGCCGGUAGACUCCCAGCAGUGGGAAGUGGGAUGCGGAUGCUAGGGCUGGGGAAGGAUGGGGGCUGCUGGCCCACGGCUCUGGAAGAUGAACCAAGGCGCGCUGACAUAUUGAGGGUGUAAGCUUAUAUGUGGGGAUCAUGGGACAUAGACCCAAAGCUCUGCUGAGGUGGAGUGAUAUGGGGAGCCAGGAAGUCAUGUGAGCAAGGUGCAUCCCACCCUUUCUCAGAAGUCUGCCUGUCUUCUUGGUUAGACGUAGGUAGACUGUUUCUAGGCGCAUUUUACAGACAGGAAAACAGAAGCUCUGGAAGAGACAUGAUGACCUAGGCCACAGUGAGUGCGAGUCUCUCACUCUGAGCCCAGCCUCUGUGGGGCUCUUUUGUGCCAAAUCUGGGUGAAGAUGGGGGAAGGAGGGCUGUGGCUGUUUGGGGAUCUGAACUUCAGCCCUCCCGCCAUGACUGAGCAGAGAAAAGGGAAUGGUCUUGGUAUGGGCUGCCUAGAGCAAGACAUACUUCUUAUGACACAGGAAGCCACACAAGUCAAGGAGGGACCAGUUCAGAUUGGUGACUUCCCAUGAAGGCUCCGUGGACUUGGAGGUGCAGCGCCGACCAGGAGGGCAUCUUGGAAGGGGACAGAAAGUGGUACUGAAGGGCAAGAGUGUGCUUGCUCUGUGGAGGAUGGCAAAGUCCUACAGGACGGGUGUGUGUGUAGGUGACUCUUCCAUGAAGGUGGGCCCAUUCUCCUACUGUGGUGCAGCUGUGUAACAAACAGCCCCUGGCAGUGAACUUGCUCACAUGAUGGCUGGAGGUUGGGUCUUCUUUUCCCAGUUACAGGCAUGGACAUUCACUUCUUCUAAAGUUACCUUGGCUUCUGGGCUUUCUUACAGCCUGCAGGCAUGGAUGGAUGGAUGGGAGCCACACAGCCCAGCCUCAUUCAGGAAUUAUGGCCUUGCUGGACUGUGAAUAUUUUGGGUGGCACCACAGAAUGGCUAUACUACAGUGCUCAGUGUUCUGAUGGCAGGAAGCCUGGCUGCCCACAGUAGUUCCCGCUAGAGUUUCUUACCUUGGCAGCCCCACAUCCCUGAUUCUUCUUCUGGUGCUAUGUCCAUUAGGGCGUGUGUGUGUGUGUGUGUGUGUAUGUGUGUGUGUGUGUGCGCGCACGCGCGCGUGCAGGAUGGACACAAAUCCACAGAGGCUUUCUGAGAUAGGAGACCUAGUUGGAUCCAAAUCUAGAGUUGGGAUGGGAGCUGAUGAUUGGGCUUCUGGGUUCUGGGGACAAUCCUGGGGUGCCCAUGGCAGGAAAAUCUGAGGGGAAUCCAUUUCUCAGCAGCCCUGUGGGCACAGGCUGGGAUGUGGCUACCAGAUCGAGCUGAGACAAGACGGGACACACAGUCACCUUCUGACUCUUAUGAAUCCCACCCUUGGGCCCCAGGCCCCCCCCCAGAUGAGGCCCCUUUAAAUGCAAGGUUCUGUCUUCCAAAAGACCCCUCCCAGUCUCCUGGGUAGCCAGGUAAACAAAAGUGAGACCCUAGCUUCUGACAUGGCUUCCCCUUGCUCUGGGCAUCUUAGCCCCACUGGUCUGCCCCCGCCCCCUGUGGCCACUCCAGGUGAGACACUCAGAGGAUGAGUGAAGAAGUGGGGGAGGGUGUGUGAGAACUAGGAGAAGUGAUCCAGAAAGUGGGGGCGGGGCCCAGUCAGCUGAGGGCUCUUCCUCCUAGCUGAGCUCCUUCCUGCUUCUUCUCUCCUUGGCCCUCUAGGGGGAGAACAGACACACAACCUCCUUUGCUCUGGCCACACCUCUAGGACCCCAGGACCUCAGCCCUCCACCCCUAUGGGGACAUCACCCUCUCUGGUCACCAUUUUCCUGUCAUCCCACAGAGUGGCUCGUGCCUCUGGAUUCUUCUGCUCCUAGGAGUCUGUUUCCCCAGCAUGGUCACGACCUGAUCAGCAGGUCCCGCUGCGCCUCCUGCACCGCGCUUCCCCGACAUCUAUGGCGGCGACGCGCAGCUCUGGGAGGCGCAUUUCCGCGGCAUCCGGAGCGCCUACCGAGCGCUGGGCAAGGAGGACGACUUCGCCAUCCGCGUGC